GCAUAUCAAUAAGCGGAGGAAAAGAAACCAACAGGGGAUUGCCCUAGUAACGGCGAGUGAAGCGGCAACAGCUCAAAUUUGAAAUCUGGCUCUUUCAGAGUCCGAGUUGUAAUUUGCAGAGGGCGCUUUGGCUUUGGCAGCGGUCCAAGUUCCUUGGAACAGGACGUCACAGAGGGUGAGAAUCCCGUACGUGGUCGCUAGCUAUUGCCGUGUAAAGCCCCUUCGACGAGUCGAGUUGUUUGGGAAUGCAGCUCUAAAUGGGAGGUAAAUUUCUUCUAAAGCUAAAUACUGGCCAGAGACCGAUAGCGCACAAGUAGAGUGAUCGAAAGAUGAAAAGCACUUUGGAAAGAGAGUCAAACAGCACGUGAAAUUGUUGAAAGGGAAGCGCUUGCAGCCAGACUUGCUUGCAGUUGCUCAUCCGGGCUUUUGCCCGGUGCACUCUUCUGUAGGCAGGCCAGCAUCAGUUUGGGCGGUGGGAUAAAGGUCUCUGUCACGUACCUCCUUUCGGGGAGGCCUUAUAGGGGAGACGACAUACCACCAGCCUGGACUGAGGUCCGCGCAUCUGCUAGGAUGCUGGCGUAAUGGCUGUAAGCGGCCCGUCUUGAAACACGGACCAAGGAGUCUAACAUCUAUGCGAGUGUUUGGGUGUCAAGCCCGAGCGCGUAAUGAAAGUGAACGGAGGUGGGAACCCGCAAGGGCGCACCAUCGACCGAUCCUGAAGUUUACGGAAGGAUUUGAGUAAGAGCAUGGCUGUUGGGACCCGAAAGAUGGUGAACUAUGCUUGAAUAGGGUGAAGCCAGAGGAAACUCUGGUGGAGGCUCGCAGCGGUUCUGACGUGCAAAUCGAUCGUCAAAUUUGGGCAUAGGGGCGAAAGACUAAUCGAACUAUCUAGUAGCUGGUUCCUGCCGAAG
rnacentral:rRNA from 1 species